AAAAAAGAACCCAAAAUAUUAAUCAAGUGGUGGACAAGUAACUCUAGAUCCUGCUUGAGGAAAAUGGUGGGAGGGGAAAAAAUAACGUCAUCUGUAAUGAGAAAAUAAAGAUUCACCCCCCCACCCCC